UCCUCGCACAGCAGCAUCCAAAGAAAAAAGAGAGAUGCACAAAAAGGGCUUUUCUCAUAUGUCUGUCUCUUUAUAAUCAGGGAGAAAGAUCUUCCACCCUUCCCACAGAAAUCCUCAUGUCUCAUAGGCCAGGACUAGGUCACAUGGUAGCAAGGCAGGUUGCAAAAGGGAAUGUUUAACUUUUUCAGCCCCUCUGGUAGGAGGUGGGCAAGGAAGAAGGAGUCUGGAAAUGGUUGUUGGUUGGCAUUCAACAGUGUUGGUUACAAUGUUCGUGAAAAUAAAACACAGGCUACAGACUAAACAGAGCUAUAUACUAGCUUGGUCUGAAAUUCGAGUGGUUGCAGGAAGUGCAAAAAGUAAGUCUACAUUUGGUAGAAUUCGAGGUCGAGAAAGGAUGUCUGGGGCACAGUCAGUGGCCCUCAGCCUUGUUCAGGGUGGGUGGACCUAGAAGGCAUCCUGUUUUCUACUGAACAAUAUGUUCUUUGUGAAAUGCUGCAAAUUAAUGACGUAUCUAAUUGCUUCCUACAGCCCAGGAGAGGUGUACCUGCAGAAAGUCUGCUUCUGAUGCAUGUAUGCAAUUAAAUCAAAAGGUCAGGGGUUCAUGGAAAAAGAAUGUAGCUGCUGAACCAAGCAUGGCCAGUGAGAUCUGAGUUUUCUGCAUUAAUAUUUAUGUGAAUGCCUUUGCUUGGCUAUGAACACCAGCAAGUGGUAGGAGGCAAAUCAGUAGCAAGUCCACAAAGUUUAAGAAAACUCUAAGAUAAAAAGUGAAAGAUGGAGAAAAGUCUAUUAACUUCUUCCUGCCAAUUAAUAAAACCAUGAUGAUUUUGUUUGGACAGCACAAUAUCUCGGUCUGGUUACUAAAGACCAGUUUUUACAGGCAGAUAAUUUCACAACCACUAAUAUGAUGAGUCAGGAGUCCUGGGCUUAGCGCCCCUACCAGCCUUACCACUUGCUUCACUCUUGGGAAGCCAUUUAACCUCGCCAAUCCUUAGUGCUGCAUUUCUAAAAUAAUAACAACAACAAUAAUAAUGAUAAUGGGAAUAAUUAUAGAGGAUUUGUUUACUGUCUUACAGCCACAGUUCUAAAGCCUUUACAUGCUCACUGAAUCUUCAUCGCAUCCCUAGGAAGUACAAACUAUAAUGAUGUCUAUUUUACAGAUGAGGAAAUCAAGGCAGAGAGAGUUGAAAUAACUUGCCUGAGAGUACCCAGCUACCAAGUGGUGACUCCAGAUUCAAACCCAAGGAUUCUGACUCCAAAGAAUAGAGACCCUACCCAACUGAGAGCACUUGACCCAUAACUCUGGUUCUAAAGCACUUCAGUCUUGGAAUGCGGGCACCCCAGGACCCAGGACUCAUGGAACAAUCAAAUAGUGCAAAUUACAGAUGAACAUCCCAACUGCAUUUCAUUUUCCGGCCUCACUAGACUGGGAGUCCAUGAAAAUAAAGAGUGUCAACACAGCACCUCUCAUGGACGAGCCACCCGGUCUGAAAGUUCCCUGCUGGGGACAUUGCGCUACUCCAUUGAACACAAUGGGGCAGAUGUUUCAGAGGAUUUCAGUACAGUUGAGAGAAAUUUGCUGACCGCCAACCAUGUGCCAGACCCUUCCAUGAGUUUUUCACGUCUUCAUGUGUUGUGGACAGCCACUCCGUAAGGCUGACGUCAUUGACUGCUAUCCAAGGGCAGAAGCUGGAGCGCAGGGAAGGGACACUGGUUCGAGGUCUGGUCCGGGAAGAUCCCACAUGCUGUGGAGCAACUAAGCCCGUGCACCACAACUACUGAGCCUGCACCCUAGAGCCCGCGAGCCACAACUACUGAGCCCGCGCGCCACAACUACUGAAGCCACGCACCUAGAGCCUGUGCUCCGAAACAAGAGAAGACCCCGCAACGAGAAGCCCGCGCACCGCAAUGAAGAGUGGCCCCCGCUCGCCGCAACUAGAGAAAGCCGGCGCACAGCAACGAAGACCCAACACAGCCAAAAAUAAAUUAAUUAAUUUUAAAAAAAAGUUAGGGAAAAAAAAAGAGCUUCAUGGCUUAUGUCCUUGACUCAGAAUCGAGGGAUCAAAGGGUUCAAGAUGGAAACCCACAGGGAAUAUGACAAUGGCCAAUGACUAGAACCAGGUCAGAGGAAGACCGGCACUGGCCUGCUGUGUGGCAGGCACUAUUCUAGUUAUCACGGAAACAGCCAUGAACAAAACAGAUGAAGUCCUUGCCCUUAUGGAGGUAGAGUAUAAAGAGAGACAAUAAAUAAACAAGUAGUUAACAAAUACUGAUAAAUCACAUAGAAAACAGUUCAGCCGACUAAGGGGGAUAGAAAUCUUGUUGAUGGUGGUGCCUGCUAUUUUACAUAAGGCAGUCAGGAAGGGCCACUCGCUAUGGGACAAGUGAGCUGAGACUUGAAAGCAGUGAGGGAGCAGGCUGUGCAAAUAUCCGGGAGAAGAGAUUUACAAGCAGAAGGGACAGUAAGGGCAAAAGCCCUGAGGCAAAAGGGUACUUGGGGCGUUGGAGGAAUAGCAGAGAUGGGCUUCCCAGGUCGGGUUCCCCAGGGAACAGUGUCUGAGUUGGGGAUUAGCACACAGGUUGUUUAUUAGGGAACGCUCUUGGGGUCAACCUGUAGAAGGGAAGGGAGGGCAAGGAAGCAGGACUGGGCAGAAGAAGAGCAAGAGCUGUGAUGGUCUCAACAAACGCCUCAGACCACCAGCCAGGAGUUCUGGAGAUAGGAUGACCCUUCAGGGCUGCCCCACAUUGAGCAGAGGGGCUGAGCUCUCGCACCCUGGUGUCCAUCAGCCGUGGGCGCCAUGGGAAAGGGGCGGGAGGGGGUGGGGGGCCGUCUCUCCUCCUCCAAGGCAUCCUCCGUGCCUGUCAGCCAGCAGCACACCCAGCGCUAAGUCCUCAGUUCUUGAAGGUUCUGGGUGGCCCCUCCCACCAUCCACUGCAUGCUGGUGUGAUUGGAGCAGAGUGAACAAGGAAGUAGUGACAGAAAAUGAGC